AAACCAGCACCUCAAGUGGUCAGGAGGAUUAUUGGGCCUAAAGCAUCCGUAGCCUGAUCUAUAAGUUUCCGGUUAAAUCCACAUGCUCAACAUUUGGGCUGCCGGAAAAACUGUAGAUCUAGGGAGUGGGAGAGGUAGACGGUACUCGGUAGGAAGGGGUAAAAUCCUUUGAUCUCUCGAUGACCACCUGUGGCGAAGGCGGUCUACCAGAACACGCCCGACGGUGAGGGAUGAAAGCUGGGGGAGCAAACCGGAUUAGAAACCCGGGUAGUCC
rnacentral:rRNA from 1 species